AACCAGCAGAUCCACACCCCCCGGAACCUCAAACCAAUCGCUCCAUAAUCUGGCAUUUAUGACGCUUCAUAGUCCUUCACGACUCCGCACAACUGUGGCCCAAGUGCAUUGCGCAGAAUCACCCCGGCCCAAGAAGGGCUACAGGGCUGAAAAAUGUACGGAUUCAAGACCUGGCGCUCUAUUGAUACGACUCCCACGAGACCGGCCCUGCAGAAUAGGGAAACACUAGAUGUAAAAAGUCACGCCCCCGCAGUUUCUACGAUUCGUCAGAACAGCCAGCGCCAAAAAAGCUGAGACUCCUCCCCGGCGAAAAACGGCACAGAAGGCCACAUACAUCUAGAGCUGGGGGAUUCCGGCUCACCGAACAUUCCCAAUGAAACACCCAAAGCGGGGGGAUAUCCCUGUUUUUAAUGCCAUUUCAGAGGUUGACGACCGGUUAUUCUGUGAUGCGGCCAACCUUCUUGACCCCGACAAUUCUAUGGCGUCAACAUCCGGAUCUGAAAUAGAACAAGCAAGGUUUUUUCACAGUCUUUUUAAUUCUAGGUAUUUAGAUGUAUGUUUUUAAAAAUGAAGACUAUUUAUACAAUGAAACAAGGUUUUUUAUUCACACUGUUUGUAAACAAUAGCUUCUGCCCUCUUAGGGUCAACAUGACCCGCUUAUUGAUUAGAAAGUAUGAUUAGAAACCAAGGCCAUCUAUAUUCAAUCUGUGAUUAGAAACGAUAAUUAGAAGCUAUGACAAAACUAUGAAGACAGGGCGGUGUGUGCGUGAAUGAUGACCUAUUAUUUAAGUGUGGAAUAUAUUCUCUCUCUCUCAGGCAUAUAUAUUUGAUACAAUUACCCACUUUAAAAACUGUUGCUGCAAUAUCACUUCUCAAUGUGUGUACAUUUCAAGCUUUCAACAACAAUAAACCAACCAGCUCAAUAA